rnacentral:rRNA from 1 species
AACGAACGCUGGCGGCAUGCCUAACACAUGCAAGUCGAACGAGACCUUCGGGUCUAGUGGCGCACGGGUGCGUAACGCGUGGGAACCUGCCCUUAGGUUCGGAAUAACUCCCCGAAAGGGGUGCUAAUACCGGAUAAUGUCUUCGGACCAAAGAUUUAUCGCCUUUGGAUGGGCCCGCGUUGGAUUAGCUAGUUGGUAGGGUAAAAGCCUACCAAGGCGACGAUCCAUAGCUGGUCUGAGAGGAUGAUCAGCCACACUGGGACUGAGACACGGCCCAGACUCCUACGGGAGGCAGCAGUGGGGAAUAUUGGACAAUGGGCGAAAGCCUGAUCCAGCAAUGCCGCGUGAGUGAUGAAGUCCUUAGGGUUGUAAAGCUCUUUUACCCGGGAUGAUAAUGACAGUACCGAGAGAAUAAGCUCCGGCUAACUCCGUG